GUGACGUCGGCGCCGGAACCUGGGAUCCCGGCUCCGGGAGGGAAGGCCGGGCGGCGGCGGUGGCCUCGGCGGGGCGCGCGGCGCAGCCAUGAGCGAGUCCAGUGCCAGUGCGCUCCCGGCCGGCAGGCGCGGCAGGCAGCCCUUCGUGCACCAAGACAGCCUCUCUUUGGACUCCAGUUACUUUUCUUCUCCUCCUAUGAAUUUCCUUCAAGAAUUACCAAGCUACCGGUCCAUCGCACGCAAGAGGACGACCAUCCUUUCCCGAGACAAGCAAAGUGACACAUUGCUGAAGCCGACAGACUCCUACAGCUCCCAGCUGGAGGGCGGAAUCACUGAAAACCUCAAUAGCCAGUCCAUUCGAAAGUAUGCACUGAACAUCUCUGAGAAACGCAGACUAAGGGACAUUCAGGAGACCCAAAUGAAGUAUUUAUCUGAGUGGGACCAGUGGAAACGGUACAGCAGCAACUCUUGGAAGAGGUUCGUAGAGAAGGCUCGGGAGAUGACCUCCCACCUGGAGCUGUGGCGGGAGGACAUUCGCAGCAUCGAAGGGAAAUUUGGCACUGGGAUUCAGUCCUAUUUCUCCUUCUUGCGGUUUCUGGUGUUGCUGAAUUUGGUGAUAUUUCUGAUCAUCUUUAUGCUGGUUUUGCUCCCAAUGUUGCUCACCAAAUACAAGAUCACCAACAGCAGCUUUGUGCUCAUUCCCUCCAAAGACAUAGAUAUCCAGUGCACAGUGUAUCCAAUAAGUAGCUCUGGACUCAUUUACUUUUAUAGUUAUUUCAUAGACUUGCUCUCUGGCACUGGUUUCCUGGAGGAGACCUGCCUCUUUUAUGGACAUUACACCAUUGACGGGGUGAAGUUUCAGACUUUCACUUAUGAUUUGCCUCUGGCUUACUUGUUAAGCACAAUUGCCUACCUGGCCCUGAGCCUUCUUUGGAUAGUGAAAAGGUCGGUGGAAGGGUUCAAAAUCAACCUGAUCCGGAGUGAAGAGCACUUCCAGAGUUACUGCAACAAGAUCUUCGCCGGCUGGGACUUUUGCAUCACCAACCGCAGCAUGGCGGACCUGAAGCAUGGCAGCCUGCGGUACGAGCUCCGAGCAGAUCUGGAGGAAGAAAGGAUACGGCAGAAAAUAGCAGAAAGGACCUCAGAGGAAACGCUACGGAUUUACUCUUUGAGACUGUUUUUGAACUGUAUUGUUCUGGCCGUUUUAGCGGCAUGCUUUUACGCAAUCUAUAGAGCAACUAUAUUCUCGCAGGAGCAUAUGAAAAAGGAAAUUGACAAGAUGGUUUUUGGAGAGAACCUCUUGAUAUUGUACCUGCCUUCUAUUGUGAUCACACUGGCCAAUUUUGUCACCCCAAUGAUCUUUGCCAAGAUCAUCCACUAUGAGGAUUAUUCCCCAGGCUUUGAGAUCCGGCUGACCAUCCUUAGGUGUGUCUUUAUGCGGCUGGCCACCAUCUGUGUGCUGGUGUUCACCCUGGGCUCCAAGAUUACAUCCUGUGAUAACUACUCCUGUGAACUCUGUGGCUACAACCAGAAACUCUACCCGUGCUGGGAGACCCAAGUUGGGCAAGAAAUGUACAAGCUGAUGAUCUUCGACCUCAUCAUCAUCUUGGCUGUGACACUUUUUGUGGAUUUUCCUAGAAAGCUUCUGGUGACUUACUGUUCCUCUUCAAAGCUGAUCCAGUGCUGGGGGCAGCAGGAAUUUGCCAUUCCUGAUAACGUGCUGGGGAUUGUUUAUGGGCAAACCAUUUGCUGGAUCGGAGCCUUUUUCUCCCCGCUUCUCCCUGCAAUUGCGACCUUGAAAUUCAUUAUCAUCUUUUAUGUGAAAGAGGAUGAAUUCCCCAAUAUUGAAGUCUGGAGUAAACAUUUUUCAUUUUGGUUUAUAUUGCUGACGACCCUCCAGAAAGGUCAUACCAGUUCACACGGCCACCGAGAUGCGAGAACGUGCUCCUCCACGCCGUGGAAGCGGCACUCACCGCUCGUCAUUGUUUCUCUGUGUCCCUCUGCCCCAGAUGAGUCUCAUUUACACCUGCACACCUUCCCCGAGGCAGUUCCGAGCGUCCAAUUCUAAUUUCUUCUUCCUGCUGGUGUUGCUGAUCGGGCUGUGUUUGGCUAUAAUACCGCUGACGAUCAGCAUGGCACGCAUCCCUUCCUCGAAAGCCUGUGGGCCGUUCACCAACUUCAACACCACCUGGGAGGUGAUCCCCAAGACGGUCAGCACCUUCCCCAGCUCGCUGCAGUCCCUGGUCCACGGCCUCACGUCAGAAGCCUUUGCAGUGCCCUUCUUCAUGAUCAUCUGCCUUAUCAUGUUUUACUUCAUCGCCCUGGCCGGAGCGCACAAGCGUGUGGUUGUCCAGCUCCGAGAACAGCUGUCCCUGGAAAGCCGUGACAAGCGUUAUCUAAUCCAGAAACUAACAGAAGCCCAGAGGGAAAUGAGGAACCGACUAGACUGAGGGUGAAGAUGCUGCUGCGUGUCACUUACAAGCUGACCCAGGGACCUGCCGAGCCUGCACAGUCCAUCUGGGUUUUGAGCAGGAAUUUUAAAAUAUAUUUUUCCGGAGUUCAGUCCUUUUCUGAAAGUGGUUCCAUAUGUGCCGCUGCGGUGGCCGUGUUUACGUAACCCAGCCCCAGUUUAGGGCUUUAGCGACUUAGAAAAAAGCAGGUUCGAAACCAAGCCUUGCCUGUAGACCAGCCACUCAGUGAGGACUAUACCAAAAAACCGACAUAGGAGGCGGCUGAAGCUUUUACAACUAAAACCGAGGAGGAGAGACCUGUGAUAUUGUCAAUAGCUUAUUUGUGUUGUCUUUUCAAGUUAACUGUAGGGGUCGUCCAUUCACGGGGCUGGGUUCUUUCUUUUGAACCAGGUUCUGGAGGUUUAGGCUGAGAAAUGUUCUGAGAAGUAGAGGCCCUUUUGAGUGGUUCUGUAGACUGAUUUUUUUUUUUUUUUUGGAUGAAGAGAAAUCCUUGAAUCGUGAUGUUUGGAACAGAUGGGAACAUGGAGAGGGUGGUUAUGUAAUUUCAGCUUCACGGUAGUAACGUGAGAGAGAAAGGCAGUCCUGCUGUGUGAAUCAGCGGUCCCUAAGGGGCCUGGGUGAAUCAGCCUUAGGAGGAUGGAAGUUGCUGGAUGGGGGCCUUGAGUUCUUAGCUUCCUGGGUAUUUUGCUGCAGCCUCAUGACUCGGGGCAAAGCUGCUCUUCAGGCACUGGAUAGCCACAAGCCUUCAGUUCUCUUGUCCUGAGUGCUGAGACUUACCAGAGAGCCCUGUGCCACCAAAAUUGAGGCGAGGUCUGUGUCUCCAUCUUCCAAAUGCCCUUUUGCUUCCUGCACUGAGGUCUCCAUUUCUGAAGGACACUUAACAUUUCAGAGGCAGGCUGGAAAGUUCUGCUGAAUAUCUGAGCUGUGGGUUUCUAUGCAUAAGUGUUUGGGGAUGUGGGUUGCAGCAUCAGAGCAGCCUGCGCCAGUAUACCAAACUGAGACGAGUGCUGGCAUCUUAAAUGCACGUGUGUGUAUUUUUAAGGACUAUUGUUUGUUUUCUUGCGCUUAAAGUUUUUAAUUUUAUUUUACAAAACACGCAGGGUCUCUCUUAUGAUUUCCGUUACAGGAAAAACCAUAUGCGAUAAAUACCUCAUCAGACACUUACCCGAAAUGGAUAGCUCUGGACCUUUGCAUGGAAGCCUAAGUUAUUGUUUAAUGUAAUCUGUUUUCAUUUUAAUAUCUUCAGGAUCUUUUUCAAAGUACUACAGUUUUGUAAUGGAUCAUUCGAGGCUUCCUUCCAUCGCUUUUCUUCCUUUCACUGGCUCUAAACCUUUCCUGGGGGGCGGGGGGUAGCCUGGAAUUCAGAGUUGAGUGCAGGUUGGCGAAAGCUAGUAUCAUGGAAUUUUGAGUAACCAAAAGUUCAUUCCAUCCUCACUUUAAAAAGAAGUUCUAAUUGUUGGCAUUUCUGCCUAGUGCCUUUAUGUAUUUAAUGUUCUUACCUUUACAUGCUUCUGAGGUCAGUCAAGUUUCCUGUGUGUGUGUGUGUGGGAGAGAGAGAGAGAUGGAAGCUCUAUUUUCUUCCCCUAUUAUAAAACUGAUACUGAAAUAUGCUAAUAUAUUAGUUUUCGUUAAAUGCUGCUAAUUGGCGUACCUCUUGAAUGUUUUUAUAUAUUUUGAUAGCUGUAAUAACUUAAGGUGCUGUCUGUGGAAUUGUUAAAGCGUAGCUCUCUCUAACAAAUGUGCAUUAAAACUACUGAUUAAACCGUGUCUUGAAGGUUUUAAAACGUGA